CCUACGGGGGGCAGCAGUGGGGAAUAUUGCGCAAUGGGCGAAAGCCUGACGCAGCGAAGCAGCGUGAGGGAUGAAGGUCUUCGGAUCGUAAACCUCUGUCAGCAGGGAAGAACGGUCACUGUGCCAAUCAGCAGUGAAUUGACGGUACCUGCAAAGGAAGCACAGGCUAACUCCGUGCCAGCAGCUGCGGUAAUACGGCGGGUGCGAGCGUUAAUCGGAUUUAUUGGGCGUAAAGCGCUCGUAGGCGGUAUGUCAAGUCAAGGGUGAAAUCCCCGCGCUCAACGUGGGAACUGCCUUUGAAACUGGCAAACUGGAGUGGGUGAGAGGAUAGUGGAAUUCCAGGUGUAGGAGUGAAAUCCGUAGAUAUCUGGAGGAACACCAGUGGCGAAGGCGACUAUCUGGCACAUUACUGACGCUGAGGAGCGAAAGCGUGGGUAGCAAACAGGAUUAGAUACCCUUGUAGUC
rnacentral:rRNA from 1 species